rnacentral:lncRNA from 1 species
AAGCUUUUAGGUCAAUUCUUUUGCGCUUAACCCAAAAUUCUUAGAUUGUUUGUGAUUCUUUUUAUUGGGUUCAUGAGAGAGAUUCACAUCCCCUCAAGAUGUUGAGAGAGAUUCCCAAUGGUGUUGCAUCACGGAUAUGUGAUUAGGUGUAGGUUCAGGGGUGUAAUUCUCAGGGAAUAGCAAUCAUCAGGUAAAUUUGUGUACCUUUUCUUUGUAUUUAGUGGAUUGUAGCUCUACGGUCUUUGAUAUUGUGUUUUUUACAUCUGCAAAGUCUCUUUAAUGUAAGACAGAUAGAUGUUCAAUGUCCCACAUUGGUAGAUUACUAACAUUGGUUAGGCCUUAUUUUAAGGGCUACCUCUAUCUCCCAUUAGCUUAAGCUUUUGGGAGUGUAUGUGGUCCCACAUCAUUUGGUAUCAUAGUGAGGUUUGGCUUUACUCACCACAUGCUCGCCAACGUAAACGUCAGCUAUUGAGUUGAGGUGUCUGAUAUAGGGCAAACGAAAGUCUAACAUCCUACAUCAGCUAAUUACUAACAUUGGUUGAGCCUUAUAUGAGGGGCUACCUCUACCCUCCACUAGCUUAAUUUUUGGGGGUGUAUGUGCUCUCGCAUCAUUCUGGGAGACUUUAUGGGUGUUUUUCCAAGUAAACCAUCAUCUUUUAUUCUUAAAGAGAAAUUUUAAAAAUAAAUUUUUUGACCAAAAAGUAAGAACUACCUAUUCACCCCCUGUAGGUAUUCUAUAAGCAAGAUCUAGAAUGUUCACAAAGCCGUAGAUUUAUGUUCUAUGACUAAAAUAUAAGAUAAAAUCAAUUGUGCAUUCAUUAUUAAUUUCCUUAAGGGAUCACAUUAGAUUACUUCUGUGCCAUGAUUAUUUAAUAUUUCCAAACCUAUAAAAUAUGCUAAUAGGAACUUAAUGAAAUGGAAAUCAUUUUAGCUGAUGAAUUUUCUAUAUAUUUCAUCAAAGAAUCUAUUGCAGGAAUUUGAUCAAAUAUCAGUAACAUAUUGUAUUGAUUUUGUCAAACUGUUUGCUUGAAUUAGGGGAGUAGAAGUGUAAUUCUUUGUAGAUAUGGAUACUUUAUUUAUGUAGUAAUUGUAAAUUUGAUGGAACAUAUUUAUUUUGUCUGAGAUUUCCCAGGUUGCAUUCCCUUGGAAGAAUUGAUACUGGAUGGCAGUAGAAUCAUAGAAAUAUGGCAAGAGCAAUUUCCAGUGGAGUCCUUUUGCAGACUAAGGGUUCUGAGUAUAUGUGAGUAUAGAGAUAUUUUGGUUGUCAUUCCAUCUUCUAUGCUUCAAAGAUUACAUACGCUGGAAAAACUCACUGUGAGAAGCUGUGGUUCAGUGAAAGAGGUAGUCCAACUUGAGGGACUUGUUGAUGAGGAAAAUCAUUUCAGAGCACUUGCAAGGUUAAGGGAAUUAGAGUUGAAUGAUCUGCCUGAGCUGAAAUAUUUGUGGAAGGAAAAUUCUAAUGUAGGCCCUCAUUUUCAAAAUCUUGAGAUUCUUAAAAUAUGGGAUUGUGACAACUUGAUGAAUUUGGUGCCAUCCUCAGUGUCUUUCCAUAAUCUAGCAAGUCUAGACAUAUCCUACUGUUGCAGUCUGAUAAAUUUGCUACCACCCUUGAUAGCUAAAAGUCUGGUGCAACACAAAAUAUUCAAAAUAGGUAGAUCAGAUAUGAUGAAGGAAGUAGUUGCCAAUGAAGGAGAGAACGCAGGAGAUGAAAUUACUUUCUGCAAAUUGGAAGAAAUUGAGCUUUGUGUUUUGCCAAACCUCACAAGCUUCUGUUCAGGGGUUUAUUCAUUAUCAUUCCCAGUCUUGGAACGUGUGGUGGUGGAAGAAUGCCCUAAGAUGAAAAUUUUCUCUCAGGGCCUCUUGGUUACACCAAGGCUAGACAGAGUAGAAGUUGGAAAUAAUAAAGAGCAUUGGAAGGAUGACCUUAACACCACUAUCCACCUGUUAUUUAACACAUGGUACGUGCUGAUUCAUCAAUCUUCAUUGUGUCCCUUAACUUUUAUGGUGAUCUUGUUUGUAGUGCAGUAGAAAUUUUUUAUGUUCCAUUUAUAGAUGGAUGCUUUUCCUAGCAUAAAAUUUGUUUAGUAGCUUAGAAUAAUUGCAAUUGAAGUGUAGCUGAACAACCCCUGUCUUGAAUCACCAAAUUAAGGUGGGCCUCUCUGGCCAAUGUUACAAAGAUCAGUCUAGUCAGAGGCAUAUUCCAAGCACAUUUCUUUCACUAAAGGAAUUGAAAGCAAGUCAGAACCAUGGUUCAUUUUUAAGUGUUCAAUUGUCAAAACCGUGCUCCCAGUCAACAUCAAAUAACCCACAACUGCAAAUUAUUGGGACUUCCCUUGAUUUAUAAUUUUUUCCUAAUGAAUGUACCUACUAAUCAUGCAUAACUUCACUGAUUCUCACCUUUUCUACUCUCAUGUUCAAUGUGUGCUGAAUUUCCAGGAUUUGGACACUGCAUUGACUUCUCUAAUUCAUUUGUAUUUCAAUAAUGGUAGGACCUUUCAUCUUCACUGUCUAUUUCUUAGGUGCAGAGGAUGAGUAUUAAGCUUUUCUUCACUUUCAGUGAAUGUUAAACAGUGUUGCUGUCAGAGAGACACUGCCAAUCUUGUUUGAUUCAUUAAGAUCAAAGUCAACUGCAAUUCGUACUUAACAUGUUAUUGUUAUACCUAUUAGCAGCCAUCAAAAUGAAAGCUUGUGGCUCUUUUCUGAAAUAUUUAUCCUAUGAUCAAGGAAAUGCUAUUGCAGAAUGUUUUAUUCAUAUAUUUUGAAAUAAAUAUGAAAGCUCUAUUCAGAAACAUAAGAGGUUCUUCGAAUUGUAUAUCACAUGAAAAACCCAGUGAGAAUGGUCUCUUAUUAUAGAAUGUCACUGUUAUUGAGCUUUCCAAUGCUAGAUGCUUUGUGAUAUUUUGAUGCUGGGAUGUGUAAAUACCCUGAAUCUGAGAUGUAGCCUAACCUUCUCUAAGCCAAUGCCGGAUACCAGGAUGUUGUGUCAUUCUGAUUGCUUAAUACCAUGAUUUCAAUUUCGCUGUUAUCAUGUUGAAUUGAUUAUUUUAUUAGCUAAUAAAUCAAUCAACUUAAAGGGAUGUUUUGGAAUAAAUUGAAAAUGAUGCUAUUUGUGAAUACAAAUUUUAUGUAAUCUGCUUGAUCAUAUUUUGAACUCCCACUCAUAGUAUUGUGUUUGUUUUCUUUUAGGCGAUUGUGAUCUUGAGAUUGUGGAAUUGGGAGCUGCUUCAGCAAUGCGAUUACACCAUGUCUAGUUCUUGUGCAACUUCAGUUGCUGCUGUUGUCAAGUUGUGGGGUUGAGGAAAUUGUUGCAAAGGAAAAUGGGAUAGAGACAAUGCCUAGUUUUGUAUUUCCUGAACUGAAGAAUCUGACACUUCACCAUCUAGUACCCAGGAAUACAUACUUUGGAAUGGCCAUUGUUGAAACAACUUAGAGUGGAUAAAUAUUUUAAAGUCAACUUAUGUGGAUACAGAAUUCCAACAUUCCAAGGAAUACAUCUGGAGGGAAACUCCAACAUACAACAGCCCCCUAUCAUGGCCCAACAGGCAAGAGCCCUGUCUUCAUCUCUUCAAGUUUCUUUAAAUUUUAGAUCAAUAAUUCUUGAUAUGCCAGCACCAUGCAUAUAGAAACAUAAAUAUGAUUGACUUGGGAAAAUUUAUGUCAUACUCUUUGAAUAGUAGAAAAUAAUCCUGAAUGUAGUGUAAGAUUUACACUACUACUCUGAUCAAAUUGACUUUUUUUCCCCUCUUGGGCACAAGAGGGACUCAUCUAAUCAUAAAGGUUUGAUAAUUUAUUGUUGAAUAGAACAUGAUUUUAAUUACUUGAGGAUUGCGGGACUUGAGGUAAUCCAAACCCUUGGACUUGUGCUCUAUUAUUAAAAAGUGUCAGUCACAUUAGCUUUAUUACUGUGGCAAUCAUUAUUAAUUUCCUUAGGGGAUCACAUAGGAUUACUCCUACCACUAUUAUUUCAUAUUUCCAAGCCUAUAAAUAGGAACUUGAUGAAAAUGGAGAUCAUUUUAGCUGAUGAAUUUCUUAUAUAUUUCUUGAAAGAAAUCUAUUAGGAGAAUUUGGUCAGGGGAAUAAAAUUGUACUUCUUUAUUGACAAAAUUGUUGGAUUAUGUUUGUCCAGCCCACGAGCCCAUAUAUUAGGCAAUUUUAUAUUUGGGUAUUCUUUAAGCCCAAAUAUAUAUAUAUAUAUAUAUAUAUAUAUAUAUAUAUAUAUAUAUAUAUGUAAAUAGCAUUAGGGCUUUGGUAUUAAGGAGAGAAGGGGAAGAUCAUGGUUGUUUUUUGGGCACUGUUUUAGGGUUCAAGGAUGAAGGAAUAGGUUCCUUGAUCAACCUUUUUGGGAAUUUCUAUGGUAUGUUUUCUCUCUGAUUUCAUUCUAUUAAUUGUUUUAUAGGAUGAUGGAUUCUCACCUCAAGCAUUGAGAUAUUUAUACAAGUUUUAAAAGUGGAGAAACUAGUGAGGACUUAAUUAUUGUAUCCCUAUUUUAUUGAAGUGGAAGAAAUUUUCUCUGUGGUUUUUUACCUCUAUUUGAAGGGUUUUUCCACAGUAUAUUUGGUGUCCCAUUUUUUUGGUUGAAUGUUCUUGAUUAUCAUUCUUUAUUUUUGUUAUGUUGUUAUUAUUGUUGAGUGGUGGUUAUUAUUGCAGAGGAAUCUUUUAACGGGCAGGUGAAUACUCUAGAUCUCUCCCUUUAUCUUCCCAACAAAAACAAAAACUUAUUUUGUUUGAGCCAUUUCCCAGGUUGCAUGGCCUAACUUGGAGGAAUUGAUACCGGAUGGCUAUUUUUAUCACCGAACUAUGGCAAGGGCAAUUUCCAGUGGAGUCCUUUUGCAGACUAAGAGUUCUGAAUAUGUGUGAAUAUAGAGAGAUUUUGUUUGUCAUUCCAUCCGUUAUGCUUCGAAUAUUACACUCCAGCAAGAAGCUGUGGUUCUGUGAAAGAGGCGGUCCAACUUGAGGGGCUAGUUGAUGAGGAAAAUCAUUUCAAAAUCUACUUGAGCUGAAAUAUUUGUGGCAGGAAAACUCUAAGCUAGGUCCUGAUUUUCAAAAUCUUGAGACUAUUCAAAUAUGGAACUGUAACAACUUGCUAUAUUUGGUACCAGCCUCAGUGUCCUUGCGGAAUCUCGCAACUCUAGACAUAUGGUCUUGUAAUAAAUUUGUUACCUGCCCUCAAUAGCUAAGAGUCUGAUGCAACUCAAAAAUCACAAAAUAGAGGGAUGAGAUAUGAUGGAAGUAGUUGCCAAUGAAGGAGGGGAAGAAACAGAUGAAAUUACUUUCUGUAAAUUAGAAGAAAUGGUGCUCCGUCACUUGCCAAAUCCCCAAGAUGAAAAUUAUCUCUCAGGGCCUCCUGGCUACACCAAAGCUAGAGAGAGUAGAAGGGGCAGAUGAUGAGGGGCGCUGGAAGGAUGACCUUGACAACACCAUCCAACAGUUGUUGAUAAAGGCAUAUGGUUCGUUCUGACUCAUCAAUCUUCAUUUAUCGUGACUUUUUUCUUAUUGCACUAGAACUCCUACCAGGGAAUUUGUUCAGUAGCUUAGAGUGAUUGAAAUUCUAGUGUAGCUGAACAAACCCUAUUUUGGAUCACCAAAUUUAUGUGUGCCCUUGUGGCCAUGUGUUACAAAGAUCCAUCUAGCUAGAGGCCUAUCCAAAACACAUUCUGUUACCAAUCCUAAUAAAAUAUAGCCAAUAUCAAUUAUCCUUUUUUAUUUUAUUAGGGAACUUCCUCAAUUAUGGAUCACUUGGUUUUAUAUCUAUAGCCAUAAGACAAAUAAUAUCUAAUAUGAUCUCAAACCAUCUAAAUAUAAAUUCACCAGUGUACUAUUGACUUAAACCAAGCCAUUGUCAUGCCCAUGACCUUUUGUAGUAAGAAACAUUGCUAAAGCCGCUAUUAAUAGUAGAAUCAAAUCUCGGGUUGGGUUUUAUGCGGGUUUGACAUGGGUUAGCCUUCUAAUUAGCUCAAGUUGCAACUAUAAUUAAAGGCACAUCUGAACCUUCUUCUCAACCAUACCUCGUAAGUUUUUCUACUAUGUUUUUUUUUUUUUUUUAUUCUAUAUUUCUUAAAACACCUAAUUUCAUGGUCAUUCAAAACAUCCAUCAUAAGCUUAUAUCAUAUGUGGGAAAAACUUCUUCAAGGUUUCUUGUGAGGCAUAUGUAGUAUCAAUUAGGUGUUUGGAUUAGAGAGAGGGGCUUAAUCGAAGAGGUUAAACGGAGAGGUUGCCGUGAAUUUUUACCAUCUACAUCUAUAAAUUGACUACACACUCCCCAGGAUCUACCUGUUAUUACGUUUGCACCACUAGUCAGCAUUACCUUACCACCUCUGAAACACCACACUCCGAUCAUGGUUUCCCUAAGAGCUACCAGCUACUGUAGAUUUCAUCUACUCUACUUGUAGCACCACUUAUUGGGUCAUUGCCAUAGGCUUUGGUGAUGCUCAGUGAUGCGUGUAGAGGUCAACCCAUUACUACCUCACAAACAAGGGAUGAAGAUUUUACAAAAAUCUUCAGUGCAUGAGUAACUUCCUGAAAGAAGCAAUAACAGAAUGCAAAAUCAGCAAUGAACAUAAUGAGAAAGAUAGCCGAAAUUGUUGAUUCAUCAACUCCUUUAGCACCUCCCAUGGUAGAAUUGCCACAUGCAUAGCCUGAGGGUAAAGCUAAUACCCAUGAAUCUGUUUAAUUCCAAUGUAGUGAAUUCUCUAACAAAAUUGGAUGGUAAAGGCAUACAAACCAAACCCGAGGUUGAGGUUCAGAGAUGGACCCCAAGUGAUGAGUGAAAGUAAAGAACAAAAGUUAUCUUGAAAAGCAAAAAAAAUAUUAUCAUUAAUAAGGGUCCUGGAUUUGCAGAUUAAAGAAGCAUUAAAAUUAGCAUAGGCACUUACAUGUGACCAACUUGAGAGAAUCACCUUCCAUUAAAAUAAAAGUUCAGAAUUUGUUUAUGCCUCAUCAGCUAGCCUCACUCUCAAUCACUAUAAAAUGACCUCCACUGUUACAUGGACUACCAACUAAUGUUUAGUUUAUUACUGACCCUGACAUGCAUAUCCCUAAUUUGAAUAGAAAAAUAAAAUUGGACUAAAUAUAUUUAGUUACUUUUCAUUGAAUCAGAACAAGAUAAAUAUCUCAAAAGGCAUCUUACACAUGAGAAAAUGUAAGGCUAAAAAGUAGAGAUAAACUAUGAAUCUGCAUGGAGACAAAAAAGAAAAAAGGAAAAGGAAACAACUGUGAGAUAUAGUAGUGGAGUUUCUGAUUAGAAGCAAUUUAUAGCUCUUUGAAAGUUUAGAUACCUACCUGGAAACUUGACUAAUGGGGUUUCCAAUCAUCAGAAAUAUUAUGCUAUCUAUCUUGGAUACCCAUUAUAUCGAAUACCAUAUCAUGAUCACCACUGUGGGCAGACAAAAAAAAAGCUGAUAAGAAAAUUUUGGAAAAUUUUAACAUGAGCUUGGUACUUUACUAUAUAUAGCAUAGAAAUUAAUCUUAUCAUUCAUGACAUCAAGACUAAAACAGGAAUAUAUCUUCAUGCAUAUAAGCUGCAUGUAGUUACCAACAAUAGGAUCUUCUAUUAAGCUACUAUUUACCAUCACAUGAUGUUAAAAAGCUUUAAUCUAUGAAAGGUUAUUAGUCGGAAGUUGGAACCUCAUCCAUAUUUAUUCCUUAUUUAUGGAGCCUACAUGAAGACCUAAAGAUAUAUGGUUCACUUGUCACCUAAAAGCUUAAACUUUUAGCCCAAAUUAGAAGCUUAAUAUGAUAUUAGAGCAUGGUUUUGAGCCUUUUUAUGAUUAACUUCUGAGUUUGCCUUCAUUUCGUUCUUUUGACAACUUCUAAUCAUGAUUUUGAUCCCAUUUUUUAGUAACUUCUACAGACCAUUCCUACUUGUUUUUCGACAACUUCUGAAUAUGGUUUUGAUCCAUUCUUCAAUUUUCACAACUUCUAAUCAUGUUUCUGGGACAAUUAUUUGUUUUGUCUCCAUUUGUUUGGCCUUUUUCAACAAUCAAAAGAUCAAACAAUCCUUGGUGUUGAUUGUUGAUAUCUUCAUUAAAACAGUUCCUCGGCCUCCACAAAAUCUUAUUGCUAUAAAAUUAAUGCCCUAUUCUCUCAGCAUCAAUUUGAGAAAAGUAGAAAGACUAAAAGAGGAACAUAUUUUCCUAUAUGGGUUGUUGUAAUUAAGUUGUCUAUACUGACCAACAGGAGAUUCUAAUUGAGCUACUUUAGGUAAUAGUGAAUUGUGGUUGAUUUGAUAACUUAAUCAUAGCCGAUAUUGUAAUCAAUUCUUUGGGGGCAGUAGUAUAUAUAGUGGAUUCUGAAGAAAGGUAGACUUUUUUCUUACUUAUCUUUUGAAAUUUUUGUCUUUUAAUUUUUAUCCAAUUACAUAUAGCAGAUUAUAUAAGGAACAAUUUGAAGUAUUGAAACUUUCAUCAAUGAGAACAGUUGCAAUUGAUCUGGUAAAUCGGUUAGCAGAAUAGAUAUUAUUUCAAUGUAAUUGAAAUUCAACAAACAUAGAAACCACCAGUAUGAUUCCAAGUUUACCAAUUUUACUAAAAUAGUACUCGGUAUAAAGUAUGAUACCAUAGUACCUGGAAGUUUAUUAACUGAAGAACAAGAUUUCUCAACAUGACUGGGAGUAAGCUGAGUAACGCUUCCACCAAUGCAUCAAUUAUCAUCCUGAACAGCCAUCAAAAAAUAAGGAGGGAUAUAAUGAAACAAAGAAUCAAUACAAAGAUGAGAAAACACCCAACAUUGUUUCUCGAACCAACUCUCUUUCUCACAUGCUGCUAACCGUUUCUCAACUGUUUCAAGCAUUUCUUUCCAGAUAAAACCUUCCUCUUUAACCUCGGCAACUUGAUGCUCAAUUUAUUCAAGGACAAAAAACCAUGGACAGCUCCUGCAACAAAAGGGAUGUUACAAAAGCAAUCAAUAAAUCAUAAACAUAUCAGCAAUAUUAAACUUCUAUAUUAUAAAAGUCUAAUGGCAGACUCCAUAGCAUCAAUUACAUAUUCCAUUGCUCUAUCUGCUUCUAGGACCACAUUUGCCUUCCUACAAAUCCCUUCUAGCUGUGAACUCUCUUCUAGCUGUGAACUCUUCUUUAGAACAAGCCCUUUCAUUUUCCUUGUUUUCAGCUAUUCCAACCAAGAAACUUCUACCUCAACCUGCACAAUGAAUUUACUUUUCCUUUACAUCCUAGAACAAAAUCCAUCCCCAUGUUGCAUAAUAAAAAUAUGUAACAUAAGAUCAAAAUUAUAUAGAACUUCAAAGUUGAUAUUUUGCAUCCAUCAACCAAAUGAGACCUAGAAAUGCAUGUUUAGAAUUAGCAUAUGGAACUCAACCAUUUGCAGAGUACUUUUUUCCAAAACAUUCCAUUCACCAAAAACAUUAACCAAUUCACAGGAAUUUUCCAAAUUCUGCUUGAAGUGACUCAUGUAUAGAUGGAUGGGUUGUAAUGGCCAAGGAUAAAGCCAUUAUGUAAUACAACAAGGUCCAAUAUGAAUCCAGUUCCCCUGUAAAUCACAUUCUUUUACAUUGUACAGUGGUCAGGGUCCUGUGGGAGAUCGUCCUUGCCUUGUUUGGGGCUCAGUGGGUGUUCCCAAAGACGGUUAAAGAGGUGUUAUUUUGUUGGAGGGGCCCUUUUGUGGGUAAAAAGAGGAAAAAGAUUUGGAAUUCCAUCCCGUUGUGUAUUUUUUUGACGGUUUGGAAGGAAAGAAAUAGGCUAGCUUUUAGAGGGGGUUCUUUAGCUAUUCAGACACUCAAGAAUUCUUUUGUAUGUAGUUUGUGGAGUUGGGCUAGGGUGUAUAUGGGAGAGGAGUCCUCUUCGCUUUUAGGCUUCUUGGAGUGGUUAGCAGCUCCUUAAGGGCUGGUGAGGUUGUUCUGUUUAUGCCUUUUUUGCUUUGUGGAUGCUUUGUAUACUCCCUGUAUGCUUUGUGGCUUUCCGCCCUUUUUUAAUAUAUUUUGUGCUCAUUUAUAAAAAAAAAA